AUGGAGUUGAAUUGCACCAGAUUAUUUCUUCAGCUCCCACAGAAUAAUCCAUUCUUUUCUGCCUUUUCUCUUCUCCAGGGAUAUGGAAACUUAAGAAGCACUAUUCACUUGAUAAGAGCUGAGGGAUUCCUAGCAGCAGUCAGUAAAACUCAUGGCCCACCAUCUAGAAAGUAUCCUGGCCAUGAAAAAGAGGACAUGAUAAGUUGUUCAACUUAUGAAAUUCAAGUUACAUGUGAAAGCUGCCGGGCAAUACAAGGACCUGUGGAAUAUGAGUGAUGACAAACCCUUUCUAUGCACUGCCCCUGGAUGUGGCCAGAUCAGACCCCAACACCAACAAGAUUCUUGAAAAACUGUGAAGAAGUGGGUUUGUUUAAUGAGUUGGCAAGUCCAUUUGAGAAUGAAUUCAAGAAGGCUUCAGAAGAUGACAUUAAAAAAGUAUGUUAUUAACCAAUGAAAUUAAAAAAUACUGAUGGAAAAGCAGUGAUAGUUUGCAUUUCUCACUUUCUUCUUUUAGACAUACUGAUAGGCUGCUUUUGAACUUCUAACCUUUUCUUUAUUGUUUAUAUUAGAUGCCUCUAGACUUGUCCCCUCUUGCAACACCCAUCAUAAGAAGCAAAAUUGAGGAACCUUCUGUGGUAGAAACAACUCACCAGGAUAGCCCUUUACCUCAUCCAGAGUCUACUACCAGUGAUGAAAAGGUUAGAAAUACGUUUUCAUGAAAUACAAAGGGGGGAAAUUGGUACCUCAAGUAAAAUUUAUUUAAUCUUCAAAAAAUAUUAAUAUAUUAAAUUUUACAUAAUUCAGUGUCAGUUUAUAAUAGUUUUGUAUGUAAAAAAUUGUGAAUUCUCAAAUGUUUCAGGAGAACAUCCCACCCUUAUAAAUAAAUAUAUUUGAAAAUUAUAAGGAAGAA
rnacentral:lncRNA from 1 species